rnacentral:rRNA from 1 species
GUUGUAUGGUUAAGUGACUAAGCGUACACGGUGGAUGCCUUGGCAGUCAGAGGCGAUGAAAGACGUAGUAACUUGCGAUAAGCCCAGAUUAGGUAGUAACAACCAUUUGAGUCUGGGAUUUCUGAAUGGGGAAACCCACUUACAUAAGUAAGUAUCAUUAACUGAAUACAUAGGUUAAUGAGGCGAACCGGGGGAACUGAAACAUCUAAGUACCCCGAGGAAAAGAAAUCAACCGAGAUUCCGAAAGUAGCGGCGAGCGAAAUUGGACUAGCCCUUAAGCUUUACACGCGUUAGACGAACGGUCUGGAAAGUCCGACGAUACAGGGUGAUAGUCCCGUAGUUGACGACGUGUGUUCAGUGAAAUCGAGUAGGGCGGGACACGUGAUAUCCUGUCUGAAUAUGGGGGGACCAUCCUCCAAGGCUAAAUACUACUGACUGACCGAUAGUGAACCAGUACCGUGAGGGAAAGGCGAAAAGAACCCCUGUGAGGGGAGUGAAAUAGAACCUGAAACCGUGUACGUACAAGCAGUAGGAGCAGGCUUUGUCCUGUGACUGCGUACCUUUUGUAUAAUGGGUCAGCGACUUAUAUUCAGUGGCAAGGUUAACCAUCUAGGGGAGCCGUAGGGAAACCGAGUCUUAACUGGGCGUUCAGUCUCUGGAUAUAGACCCGAAACCAGGUGAUCUAGCCAUGGGCAGGUUGAAGGUUGAGUAACAUCAACUGGAGGACCGAACCGACUAAUGUUGAAAAAUUAGCGGAUGACUUGUGGCUAGGGGUGAAAGGCCAAUCAAACCUGGAGAUAGCUGGUUCUCCCCGAAAGCUAUUUAGGUAGCGCCUCGGACGAAUACUACUGGGGGUAGAGCACUGUUAAGGCUAGGGGGUCAUCCCGACUUACCAACCCUUUGCAAACUCCGAAUACCAGUAAGUACUAUCCGGGAGACACACGGCGGGUGCUAACGUCCGUCGUGGAGAGGGAAACAACCCAGACCGCCAGCUAAGGUCCCAAAUUACUACUAAGUGGGAAACGAUGUGGGAAGGCUCAGACAGCCAGGAUGUUGGCUUAGAAGCAGCCAUCAUUUAAAGAAAGCGUAAUAGCUCACUGGUCGAGUCGGCCUGCGCGGAAGAUGUAACGGGGCUAAGUAGUAAACCGAAGCUGCGGCAAUGUGCUUUUGCACAUUGGGUAGGGGAGCGUUCUGUAAGCGGUUGAAGGUGUGUGGUAACGCAUGCUGGACGUAUCAGAAGUGCGAAUGCUGACAUGAGUAACGAUAAAGGGGGUGAAAAACCUCCUCGCCGGAAGACCAAGGGUUCCUGUCCAACGUUAAUCGGGGCAGGGUAAGUCGACCCCUAAGGCGAGGCCGAAAGGCGUAGUCGAUGGGAAACGGGUUAAUAUUCCCGUACUUCUUACAAUUGCGAUGGGGGGACGGAGAAGGCUAGGUGGGCCUGGCGACGGUUGUCCAGGUUCAAGUGCGUAGGCUUAAGAGUUAGGUAAAUCCGGCUCUUUUUAAGGCUGAGACACGACGUCGAGCUACUACGGUAGUGAAGUCAUUGAUGCCAUGCUUCCAGGAAAAGCCUCUAAGCUUCAGAUUGUAAGGAAUCGUACCCCAAACCGACACAGGUGGUCGGGUAGAGAAUACCAAGGCGCUUGAGAGAACUCGGGUGAAGGAACUAGGCAAAAUGGUACCGUAACUUCGGGAGAAGGUACGCUCUUGAUGGUGAAGUCCCUCGCGGAUGGAGCUGACGAGAGUCGCAGAUACCAGGUGGCUGCAACUGUUUAUUAAAAACACAGCACUGUGCAAAAUCGUAAGAUGACGUAUACGGUGUGACGCCUGCCCGGUGCCGGAAGGUUAAUUGAUGGGGUUAGACUUCGGUCGAAGCUCUUGAUCGAAGCCCCGGUAAACGGCGGCCGUAACUAUAACGGUCCUAAGGUAGCGAAAUUCCUUGUCGGGUAAGUUCCGACCUGCACGAAUGGCGUAAUGAUGGCCACGCUGUCUCCACCCGAGACUCAGUGAAAUUGAAAUCGCUGUGAAGAUGCAGUGUACCCGCGGCUAGACGGAAAGACCCCGUGAACCUUUACUACAGCUUGGCACUGAACAUUGACCCUACAUGUGUAGGAUAGGUGGGAGGCUUUGAAGCACGUACGCCAGUAUGUGUGGAGCCGUCCUUGAAAUACCACCCUUGUAGUGUUGAUGUUCUAACGUCGACCCCUUAUCGGGGUUGCGGACAGUGCCUGGUGGGUAGUUUGACUGGGGCGGUCUCCUCCCAAAGAGUAACGGAGGAGCACGAAGGUGGGCUAAUCACGGUUGGACAUCGUGAGGUUAGUGCAAUGGCAUAAGCCCGCUUGACUGCGAGAAUGACAAUUCGAGCAGGUGCGAAAGCAGGUCAUAGUGAUCCGGUGGUUCUGAAUGGAAGGGCCAUCGCUCAACGGAUAAAAGGUACUCCGGGGAUAACAGGCUGAUACCGCCCAAGAGUUCAUAUCGACGGCGGUGUUUGGCACCUCGAUGUCGGCUCAUCACAUCCUGGGGCUGAAGUCGGUCCCAAGGGUAUGGCUGUUCGCCAUUUAAAGUGGUACGCGAGCUGGGUUUAGAACGUCGUGAGACAGUUCGGUCCCUAUCUGCCGUGGGCGUUGGAAGAUUGAAGGGGGCUGCUCCUAGUACGAGAGGACCGGAGUGGACGAACCUCUGGUGUUCGGGUUGUGUCGCCAGACGCAUUGCCCGGUAGCUAAGUUCGGAAUCGAUAACCGCUGAAAGCAUCUAAGCGGGAAGCGAGCCCUGAGAUGAGUCUUCCCUGAUACUUUAAGUAUCCUAAAGGGUUGUCGGAGACUACGACGUUGAUAGGUCAGGUGUGUAAGUGCUGUGAGGCAUUGAGCUAACUGAUACUAAUUGCCCGUGAGGCUUAACCAUACAACACCCAAGGGGUUU